GGAAUUUUGGACAAUGGGCGCAAGCCUGAUCCAGCCAUGCCGCGUGUGUGAAGAAGGCCUUCGGGUUGUAAAGCACUUUCGGACGGAACGAAAUCGCGCGGGUGAAGAAUCCGCGUGGAUGACGGUACCGUAAGAAUAAGCACCGGCUAACUUCGUGCCAGCAGCCGCGGUAAUACGAAGGGUGCAAGCGUUACUCGGAAGUACUGGGCGUAAAGCGUGCGUAGGUGGUUUGUUAAGUCUGAUGUGAAAGCCCUGGGCUCAACCUGGGAAUUGCAUUGGAUACUGGCAGUCUAGAGUGCGGUAGAGGGUAGCGGAAUUCCCGGUGUAGCAGUGAAAUGCGUAGAUAUCGGGAGGAACAUCCGUGGCGAAGGCGGCUACCUGGACCAGCACUGACACUGAGGCACGAAAGCGUGGGGAGCAAAC
rnacentral:rRNA from 1 species